GACGAACGCUGGCGGCGUGCUUAACACAUGCAAGUCGAACGGAAAGGCCCUGCUUUUGUGGGGUGCUCGAGUGGCGAACGGGUGAGUAACACGUGAGUAACCUGCCCUUGACUUUGGGAUAACUUCAGGAAACUGGGGCUAAUACCGGAUAGGAGCUCCUGCUGCAUGGUGGGGGUUGGAAAGUUUCGGCGGUUGGGGAUGGACUCGCGGCUUAUCAGCUUGUUGGUGGGGUAGUGGCUUACCAAGGCUUUGACGGGUAGCCGGCCUGAGAGGGUGACCGGCCACAUUGGGACUGAGAUACGGCCCAGACUCCUACGGGAGGCAGCAGUGGGGAAUAUUGCACAAUGGCGGAAGCCUGAUGCAGCAACGCCGCGUGCGGGAUGACGGCCUUCGGGUGGUAAACCGCUUUCGCCUGUGACGAAGCGUGAGUGACGGUAAUGGGGAAAGAAGCACCGGCUAACUACGU
rnacentral:rRNA from 1 species